AUACGUAGGGGGCGAGCGUUGUUCGGAAUGACUGGGCGUAAAGGGCGUGUAGGCGGCCUGAUAAGUCUGGAGUGAAAGUCCUGCUUUCAAGGUGGGAAUUGCUUUGGAGACUGUCGGGCUAGAGUGCGGAAGAGGUAAGUGGAAUUCCCAGUGUAGCGGUGAAAUGCGUAGAGAUUGGGAGGAACACCAGUGGCGAAGGCGACUUACUGGGCCGUAACUGACGCUGAGGCGCGAAAGCGUGGGGAGCGAACAGGAUUAGAUACCCUGGUAGUCCACGCGGUAAACGAUGAAUGCUAGGUAUAGGGGGUAUCGACCCCUCCUGUGCCGGAGUAAACACAAUAAGCAUUCCGCCUGGGGAGUACGGCCGCAAGGUUGAAACUCAAAUGAAUUGACGGGG
rnacentral:rRNA from 1 species